GCCACCUUAGCUCAGCUGGUAGAGCGGCGGUAUCGUAAACCGCAGGUCGUCGGUUCAAGCCCGACAGGUGGCU
rnacentral:tRNA from 1 species